rnacentral:SRP_RNA from 1 species
UCGUGCUAGAUGGGGAGCCAGCGGUGCCCUGAACCCGCAAUCCGCUAUAGCGGGAUUGAAUUCCCGCUCGAGGUCCUACACUUUCCGGGACUGUUCUUUGUGCAUCGGUGAUGAACACCGGGUCCUGCGCGGCAGAACGCUAUGAACUCCGUCAGAUCCGGGAGGAAGCAGCGGUAAAUAGCAGUUUCUGGGUGCCGCAGGUGUUCCUGAUGGGAGCCGGUGGCAGGGAUAAGCCGGGAGGAGUGGAUCGACAGCGGGUGCACGA